GAGAACUUAUCUGUCUCCUUCCAAGAGCCAUCAAUGAAGCAUAUAUACCCUGCAAAAUAUGAAGAUAAUCUUUGUCUCUGGGGCCGUAUCCGAGGAAAGUCCGAGGCCGGGCGCCGCUGUAGCUCCACACCUUCGACUUGGGCCUCUUGCCAUGAUAAGACAUAAAAAAUUGUAAUAUGCUUCCAACGGAUUAUAUGACAGCACUUAUAAGACAUGACAAAUUGUAAGAUUUUUUUUUUCUUUUUUUUUUAAGAUGGAAUGGGUUUGAAUUGAUAUUACUAAAACAUUAAAAUAUCAUUAAUGUUAUACUUCAAUACGGAUAAAAUCUUCAUUCACUAUUUUUUUAACAACACAAUAUACAUAAUCAAACUGAUUUAGUGAAAAAUGAUAUUAUGCAAUCUUAAUAAUUAUUAAACAAACACUAACAAAAUCUGUAAAAAAAAAAAAAAAAAAAAACAAAUCUGUAAAUUUUAAACUGUCCUUGCUUGCCUAUGUUUUAGCAUCUGCAAACUUUAUUUUGUAAAUGUUUAUGACUUUUCCGUGAGAUGCAACUGUACAAUGUUUAAGGGAGUUUAUGAGGUAUGUCCUCUUAC
rnacentral:lncRNA from 1 species